GGCGAACGCUGGCGGCGGGCUUACACAUUCAAGUCGGACGGAAAGGCCCGGCUGUUGUGGGGUUCUCGGGUGGCGAACGGGGGAGUAACGCGGGAGUAACCGGCCCUUGACUUUGGGAUGAGUUCAGGGAACUGGGGCUAAUACCGGAUAGGAGCUCCUGCUGCGUGGGGGGGGUUGGAAAGUUUCGGCGGUUGGGGAUGGACUCGCGGCUUAUCAGCUUGUUGGUGGGGUAGUGGCUUACCAAGGCUUUGACGGGUAGCCGGCCUGAGAGGGUGACCGGCCACCUUGGGACUGCGAUACGGACCAGACUCCUACGGGAGGCAGCAGUGGCGAAUAUUGCCCAAUGGGCGGAAGCCUGAUGCAGCAACGCCGCGUGCGGGAUGCCGGCCUUUGGGUUGUAAACCGCUUUCGCCUGUGACGCAGCGUGAGUGACGGUAAUGGGUAAAGAAGCACCGGCUAACUACGUG
rnacentral:rRNA from 1 species